GAUGAAGAACGUAGUGAAAUGCGAUAAGUAAUGUGAAUUGCAGAAUUCAGUGAAUCAUCGAAUCUUUGAACGCACAUUGCGCCCGGCAGUACUCUGCCGGGCAUGCCUGUUCGAGCGUCAUUUCAACCCUCAAGCCCUGCUUGGUGUUGGGGCCCCACGGCUGCCGUGGGCCCUGAAAGGAAGUGGCGGGCUCGCUACAACUCCGAGCGUAGUAAUUCAUUAUCUCGCUUAGGGCGUUGGGCGGCGCUCCAGCCGUUAAAGAACCAUCUUUAACUCAAGGUUGACCUCGGAUCAGGUAGGAAUACCCGCUGAACUUAAGCAUAUCAAUAAGCGGAGA
rnacentral:misc_RNA from 1 species